GAGGGUGGGGCUCAGUGCUAGAGCACAUGCUUAGCACGCACGAGGCCCUGGGUUCAAUCCCCAGCACCUCCA
rnacentral:tRNA from 1 species